CUGAGGAGCUCCAGGGGAAAAGAAGGGACAGGCCAAAAAGGCAAACAACGAGGACAUAUAAGGCUCUCGGGUCUAACUCCGGAUAAAUUCACAAACAGGGAACCACUGUUGGGCCGGGCCUGGAGGCGAUGAUAGCCCGGGCUGAUGACUUCCCGCCGGAGGCCAGCAGCGAGUCGGAGGUUCGGCCGCGAUGCGACGGCUGGAAGUCCCCGAGAUGAGGUGGACGCGGUACACCGGAACGGACUCACCGGGAAAUGUUUGACGUCGUCGGCGUCGACUGCGAAGACUGCUUUUCUGGGUGGUCGUCGGUACGGGUCGAACGGACACCGGUUGCUGGGCAGCCAAGUCGGGCUGCUGCAUCUGCCUUGGUUGUUGGACAGUAUGGCCGCAACUAUCUCGAUAUCUGCUGAUCAUCGUUCAUACCCCCCGCCAUAUUACAUGGCCUCUCUCAAAAUUGGGUCAUUGGAUACAUGGUUCCAUUUAAAGUAAUCCCAAAGCGAACCGGGAUUAAUCUUCAAAUGGCCAGAUCGCCCGCCAGACUCAUCCCGUUGCUACAGCUAUCGCCCUAUCUACCUAACCUAUCGAUAACGUCGCUCACAUUCGACUCCAAUUGCAACAGUUUCACCACUUUCCAAGCCAUUCCAAUAUUUGGGAAUACGAUCUCGCAUCGGCUAGGAUGAACGGCUCUUUCGUAUCCGUCAGAUGGACCCUCAAAGACGCUAUUAUUUAUAUGUUCGCGCAAAUAAAACAAGACGGGAAGCGUAACUGCAGUCUGCUUUCAUUAGAGCGUAACAAGAUUUACUCUCUCCUCUC